rfam:Hordeum vulgare subsp. vulgare, WGS project CAJW01000000 data, contig: morex_contig_136730
AACAUACUCAAUCCGUCCCAAAAUUCUUGUCUUAGAUUUGUCUAGAUAUGAAUGUAUCUAGUCGCGUUUUAGUAUUUAGAUACAUCCAUUUUUAGACAAACCUAAGACAAGAAUUUUGGGACGGAGGGAGUAUAAA